UUAAGCGCUUUUGCCGGUAUCUUUGUAAGUCAUCGUGACACGGUAACCCCUCCCCUUGGUUACGGGGAGACCACGUUAGCACAAUGCUCAUCUACCCUGAUUGGCUUAAGGCCAUACCUGUCACUAUGACGCUAUAUUUCCUCCCCUCGAAAUUAUGGCGACCACGUGAGCUUUACGCCCACCUCUCCUGAUUGGUCUCUAUUGAGAUGUGAUGAUCAGAUGAACUCCGCCUCUUGAGGAAUCCGAUUGGAGGACGUCAACUUUGGGGAAAUGGUCACUACCCUUUAUAAGGCAAACCUUAACCACUUAACAAGUUGCUCUUGAUAAAGGCGUGCUUGAAAAACGCGCGUCGAGUUUAGAUAGUUUUAGCUGACGCCAAUCACUUUAUUUGAGAUUUUAGUUGUAGCUGAUGCUAUCUAUGAGCUCUCUAGACCGUUUUAGCCGACACUUAUUUUCUGAAUUGAGUCUAGAUAGUUUUAGCCGACGCUAAUCACUUUUAUUUGAGAUUUUGGUUGUAGCUGAUGCUAUCUAUUAGUUCUCUAGACAGUUUUUAGCCGACGCUAAUUUACUGAAUUUGAGACUUUAGCUUUAGCAGAAUUUAGCUUUAUGUAAUUCAUUCUAUUUAGCUUGGAGAUGUCCCUGAGUGAUUAUGUUGGCUCUUUUUAGCUAAUAAGGGGGUAUGGAUAGGCUGCCUUGAAGCAGCUGUUAGAUGUAUGGUGUAGUUUAAGUUGGAGCAGUGUUGUGAAGGGGUGUUUUAGGCGACCUAUGUGUACAUCUAGAAUCAUAGUCCUAGUUUAUUCCCCUUCUUUACCUCUAUUUAGGUUUCUGCCUCUUUUUACACCCUUUAUUCAUUCAUGCUGUCAUCUUUCCACCUAUCUUUACAUAUAUAUUUCUCCUAUAUUGUGCUCCCUUUACAGCACACAUUGGGAUAAAAAAUAUAUGGAUAGGCUGUUUAUCUUUACUCUAG